rnacentral:snRNA from 1 species
GUGUGUGUGUAUAUAUAUAGGUAUUAAAAUUAGAAUGAUUUGGAGAUUAGCAUAGCCUCUGCACAAGGAUGACAGGCAAAUUUGUGAAACAUUCCAUAUUAAA